AGCGGAAAGGCCCUUUCGGGGGUACUCGAGCGGCGAACGGGUGAGUAACACGUGAGUAACCUGCCUUCAGCUUUGGGAUAACCCUCGGAAACGGGGGCUAAUACCGGAUAUUCAUUCUCGCGGGCAUCUGUGGGGGUGGAAAGUUUUUCGGCUGGGGAUGGGCUCGCGGCCUAUCAGCUUGUUGGUGGGGUAAUGGCCUACCAAGGCGGCGACGGGUAGCCGGCCUGAGAGGGCGACCGGCCACACUGGGACUGAGACACGGCCCAGACUCCUACGGGAGGCAGCAGUGGGGAAUAUUGCACAAUGGGCGGAAGCCUGAUGCAGCGACGCCGCGUGAGGGAUGACGGCCUUCGGGUUGUAAACCUCUUUCGACCCUGACGAAGCGUGAGUGACGGUAGGGGGAGAAGAAGCACCGGCCAACUACGUGCCAGCAGCCGCGGUAAGACGUAGGGUGCGAGCGUUGUCCGGAUUUAUUGGGCGUAAAGAGCUCGUAGGCGGCUCGUCGCGUCGUCCGUGAAAACCCGCGGCUUAACCGCGGGCUUGCGGUUGAUACGGGCGGGCUAGAGUUCGGUAGGGGAGACUGGAAUUCCUGGUGUAGCGGUGAAAUGCGCAAAUAUCAGGAGGAACACCGGUGGCGAAGGCGGGUCUCUGGGCCGAUACUGACGCUGAGGAGCGAAAGCGUGGGGAGCGAACAGGAUUAGAUACCCUGGUAGUCCACGCUGUAAACGUUGGGCGCUAGGUGUGGGGGGCCUCUCCCGGUUCUCUGUGCCGCAGCUAACGCAUUAAGCGCCCCGCCUGGGGAGUACGGCCGCAAGGCUAAAACUCAAAGGAAUUGACGGGGGGCCCGCACAAGGGGGCGAAACAUGCGGAAUUAAUUCGAUGCCAAC
rnacentral:rRNA from 1 species